AUUGAAUGCUGGCGGCAGGCCUAACACAUGCAAGUCGAACGGUAACAGGAAGCAGCUUGCUGCUUUGCUGACGAGUGGCGGACGGGUGAGUAAUGUCUGGGAAACUGCCUGAUGGAGGGGGAUAACUACUGGAAACGGUAGCUAAUACCGCAUAACGUCGCAAGACCAAAGAGGGGGACCUUCGGGCCUCUUGCCAUCGGAUGUGCCCAGAUGGGAUUAGCUAGUAGGUGGGGUAACGGCUCACCUAGGCGACGAUCCCUAGCUGGUCUGAGAGGAUGACCAGCCACACUGGAACUGAUACACGGUCCAGACUCCUACGGGAGGCAGCAGUGGGGAAUAUUGCACAAUGGGCGCAAGCCUGAUGCAGCCAUGCCGCGUGUAUGAAGAAGGCCUUCGGGUUGUAAAGUACUUUCAGCGGGGAGGAAGGGAGUAAAGUUAAUACCUUUGCUCAUUGACGUUACCCGCAGAAGAAGCACCGGCUAACUCCGUG
rnacentral:rRNA from 1 species